ACAGCAGUAGCCGCGGGAAUAGGUAGGGUGCAAGCGUUAAUCGGAAUUACUGGGCGUAAGGCGCACGUAGGCGGCUUGGUAAGUUAGAGGUGAAAGCCCGGAGCUCAACUCCGGAAUUGCCUUUAAGACUGCCGAGCUAGUAGGUGAGAGAGGUAAGUGGAAUUCCGAGUGUAGAGGUGAAAUUCGUAGAUAUUCGGAAGAACACCAGUGGCGAAGGCGGCUUACUGGCUCAUUCUAGACGCUGAGGUGCGAAAGCGUGGGGAGCAAACAGGAUUAGAUACCCCAGUAGUCCCUGUCUCUUAUAC
rnacentral:rRNA from 1 species